UACGUAGGGGGCAAGCGUUGUCCGGAUUUAUUGGGCGUAAAGAGCGUGUAGGCGGCCAGACAGGUCAGCUGUGAAAACUCGAGGCUCAACCUCGAGACGCCGAUGGAAACCCCCUAACUAGAGUCCGGAAGAGGAGAGUGGAAUUCCUGGUGUAGCGGUGAAAUGCGUAGAGAUCCGGAGGAACACCAGCGGCGAAGGCGGCAUCCUGGACUGGUCCUGACACUCAUGAGCGAAAGCGUGGGGAGCGAUCCGG
rnacentral:rRNA from 1 species